UACGGAGGGGGCUAGCGUUGUUCGGAAUUACUGGGCGUAAAGCGUGCGUAGGCGGAAUGGAAAGUUAGGUGUGAAAUCCCAGGGCUCAACCCUGGAACUGCACUUAAAACUCCCAUUCUAGAGUUCUGGAGAGGUAAGUGGAAUUCCUAGUGUAGAGGUGAAAUUCGUAGAUAUUAGGAGGAACACCAGAGGCGAAGGCGGCUUACUGGACAGAUACUGACGCUGAGGCACGAAAGUGUGGGGAGCAAACAGG
rnacentral:rRNA from 1 species